GGGGGUACACGAGUGGCGAACGGGUGAGUAACGCGUGGGUAACCUACCCUAAAGUGGGGGGAUAGCCUCGGGAAACCGAGGGUAAUACCGCAUACGUCCCAGAUGACUCAAGUCGACUGGGGGAAAGGCGGGGAUCUUCGGACCUGCCGCUUUUGGAUGGGCCCGCGUCCGAUUAGCUUGUUGGUGGGGUAAUGGCCUACCAAGGCACCGAUCGGUAGCCGGCCUGAGAGGGCGAUCGGCCACAUUGGGACUGAGACACGGCCCAG
rnacentral:rRNA from 1 species